rnacentral:rRNA from 1 species
UACGUAGGGACCAAGCGUUGUUCGGAUUUACUGGGCGUAAAGGGCGCGUAGGCGGCAUGACAAGUCACUUGUGAAAUCUCCGGGCUUAACUCGGAACGGUCAAGUGAUACUGUCGCGCUAGAGUGCGGAAGGGGCAAUCAGAAUUCUUGGUGUAGCGGUGAAAUGCGUAGAUAUCGAGAGGAACACCUGCGGCGAAGGCGGGUUGCUGGGCUGAUACUGACGCUGAUGCGCGAAAGCCAGGGGAGCGAACGGG